GGUACUUAAAAGUUAACUCAUUAGUAUCACAAAGGUCAAGGAUUGAUUGGACCAGGCAAGAGCCAUGUUUUUGACAAGGUUCUGGAUCGCUGACUCCAACUUGACUAACAUUUAGUAAGAACAUGCUUACACGCCACAGUGAAAGGGGACGGGGAUGUGUUAAGCGGGAACAGAAGAUGGGCAGAAGAGGCAUUAAAAAUGCAUACCACGAAUUUAGAACAAAAGCUGUGGGCCAGAAAAGCAAUUGGCUAAAAAAUGAAUAAUACCACUUCUAAUGUAACUAAGCAUCUCCACUAUGGUGUGUGCCUUUUAUAAAGGAAAAGAGAGAAAAGCAAAGCAAGGUUGUGGCCUUAGGUCGGAUCUGGAAUAUCCCUGCUUAUUGCCUGUAAUAGAAUAUGUGACACUGUGGGUGAAAUGUUGUACACACCACACACUAGGCCAUUUUCAGAUCAGCAGUCACCCAUCUCUUAGCAUAGACAUCCCAAAACCUCCAGCCUGGGUAUACCACAAGCUUCAGCCAUUCAGGAAUCUGCCCUGUGCUUUGCAUAUCUGUAUAGCAAAUCAUCAGGUCAAUCCCCCAUCCUCAUACCCUCUCAUCUCUGAGGAGCUGUGAACAGAUUUUGCUCUAAUGAUCCUCCAGCCUCAUCCAAUGUUCCCUAAAGACUGAUAUAAGUAACCUCCCCUCUGCUUAGGCAUCUCUGUCUCAGCAUAUGAUGUUUAGGUAGCAAGGGACAGGAAUAUGGGAACUGUAGAACUUCAGUUCUCAAAUGUCAAUAUAGAUAAGAGUCGUCUAGUACAGAACUUAUCAGAGCGCUGAUUGCCAAGACCCUUUUCCAGAGAUUAUGGGGUCAGGGGUGGAAGUCUAGAGGUAGGCUCAGAAACCUACUGUUAACCAACACCCCCAGGUGACUGACAUGGGUGGUCCAACAAUUACUCUUCUAGAAACACCAUUCUGGAAGUUUGGCUGCCCACAAGCAUGAGGAGAAGCAUGAAGAGAAACCCUGUUUGAAAGUUGUUGUUUUUUUUAUAUAACUUCAGCACACAUCUGCUGAUUCUCCUUCCACAUCCUCACCCCCACCCCUGGGUACCAUUUAGGACAAGACUUCCUUAAUUACUUGCUUUAUCUUCUCAGGACUCAUUGUUCCACCCCCCAAUCAAUUUGAAUGCCUACAGUGAGUUCAGGAGCUGUGCCAAGCACUUUCCUCUUUUACAGCUGCAGAUCAUUGGAAAGGUGGCUCAAUCACAAAACUUCUCCCCCUACUAUUGGAUGAAAUGUCUGCAUUUCCACCAAAAGCUACCCAGUCCCCCAGGGAAAGGUAACAACUUAAGCUGUAGUUAGGUAACACCUAGUGAUUCAUUGGCUGAGAAAACCCGGGAGUGGAGGUACACUCAAACAUCCUGAUAUGGAUGUGGGAGGGCUCUAAAGUCAGAGGUCACCAGCCCCACAGAUGAAACAGUUCAAUGAGGAAACAGGUGAGCCCUGAAAACAGAAAAGGACAAUUCUGUGUUGAAAUACCCCAUCCCCUCACAUUCUCACCCCAGGCCCAGAGGUAGGUUUGCAGCCGUCUUUGGAAGAUUUUGCCCCUCAGCCAUCCCUACCCACUUGCAACACUAAGGAUGCUGGAGACUCUGCCACUAUGCUGUGUGUGCCCCUGAACCUCUGUGCAGCCCAGAAGGCUGAUGUACAGGUGUACCUCAGUUCACAUUAUAGCCAUGCUCCUACUGUACAUGGACAUUUUUGUAACUCAGCUCAUAUUCUGACUGUAUUUGAGAAGCUGGCUAUUUAAGGGAACCCAGAGGUGAAUCCUUUUGUAAAGUAAAGCACCCUUUUGUAAUGCAGUUAAUUAUCCCUUAAUGUAUCUGUUUUGUAAAUCUGAAUUUUUGUAUAUCGGGUUUACCUUAAGCUUCUCUACUGAGGCAUUCUGAGCAGUGGUGGAUCACAUGCCAGAUCGCCCCGCCUGUCCACAAAGUAUUUGACCAAUGCAGGCUCCUCAAACAUCUUUGGAGGAACUAGCUGGCCAAAACACCGGCCAGGAUGCAGCAAGCAGCAGCAGGGGCUGAAGGCAGGCUUACUGCCGUCAACAUUGCUUGAAAUGCCUCUAUGAUCUGAAUGAAAAAAACAUAAUUGCUUGUGGUGAAACGAAGCAGUCUUCAUGUUAAGUAGCAAUGGUUAUUUUUAUCAGUAGUAAUUGAACAGUGUUUUGCAAUUUGUGAAACAGUGUAUUGUGUUUUGUAAAAUGAUGUCAUGAAAUGGUGGGUCCUUGGAAACCUCUUUUCUGUUCAGCUCCACCUCUUGUUCUUUCAACUCCUUUCAGGCUCAAAAAACACACACAAAGAUCAGAAGCCUUCAGAUGGAGGGUGGUAUUCUGGUAAAGAAGAGAUAAGAGAUGCUACCUUGCUGCUUCUCCUCGGCUCCCAUUUCAUGAGAUCAAGAAGACUUCCAUUCUCUACCAAGCUCUGGUGCUGGGAAACCUUGAAUAUGACACAUUGUACCACAUACCCCAACCCUGUUUUCCAAGGGGAAUUUCUGGCACAGGAAGCACAUAGUAAAGCAUGCUCAGGUGAGCUGGAACAGACACAGCUACCUGGUUCAUGUAAAUAAGAAUAAUAAAGGCCCCAGAGUAUAUAUGCUUCCAGGUAGAGGAGAAAGGGGAAUCCCCCAAAACUUAAAAACAAGUUGGAAGAAUAACCAGGACAACCAAGUGAGGCAGCCACAGGGACCCAAGCAGUCGAGGUCUUUAAUGUGCCUGGAGAUGACUCUCCAUCAUUCAUGAAUCUUGCUAUUGCACAAACCCUAUCAGGAGCUGCAGCUUCCCUUCCAGCCAGAGAAGUGGUAAGUGGAGCAAGUGCCGAGCAGAACAGACCUUAUCAUCUGGGUAACAGACUGAGAAGUGUUGGUGCUGUGUCUGUUAGGGCCUUGGAGCAAAUUAAGCACUUCCUUGGUGUGGGUAACGAAUAAAGGGGAAAGCAACUACUUUAGAUCCUCUUUUUCUCCCAACUCAUUUUUGAUAGGAAAACCAGAAAAUCCAACCAUUUCUUCAGAAAUUGCUUUCUAGUCAUUAACACUACUUUACUAUCUAUACUGUUAAGUUAUUCUUUUCUUUACCCACCUACACUACCUAUCUAUUCCAGGAUUCCCUCACUCUUUUUUUAGUUUAGUUACUAAUCAUUUUAUGAAAAUAGUGUACUUACAAGUAUUUUCUUAAGGUUUGUGAAGAGUAUUUGCAUUGUGUCUUCAUUUUAAUGUGUUUGCAAUCGCUCCGCUCCAGGAAGAACGGAAAUGCCGUCUUGUGAGCAUGAAGUGAACAGGCUGUUUUGCUCCAGCCACUUUUCUUGUACAACCACACGGAUGGAUUAGAUAUCCUCAGGUCUUUUCCAUCUUCAGUUUCUAUGAGUAUGGAAUAAAUGUUCAGAAACUUCA